UCCGGCCCUGGCACGUGACAGGGGCGCCGCUUUGAGGCUGCGCGCCAUCUUGGUUCGGCCUCGAGAGUCCGACGAAGAGGCGGAGUGCCAGGGUUUUACCCGGCCUCGAUAUAGUCACCAUUUGGCACAGCAGGGGUGAGAAUGGAAGCUAAAUAUGUAUUGCUGUUGACCCUUGAACAACAGAGGUUUGAACUCUGCAUAUCCACUUAUAUGCAGAUUUUCUUCCUCUUACACCACUCCUGAGACAGCAAGACCAACCCUUUCUCUCUUCCUGAUCCUCCUCAGCCUACUGAACAUGAAGAUAACAAGGAUGAAGACCUUUAUGAUGAUCUACUUUCAGUUAACGAACAGUAAACAUGUUUUCUCUUCCUUAA